AUUGAACGCUGGCGGCAGGCCUAACACAUGCAAGUCGAGCGAGCGGCGGACGGGUGAGUAAUGUAUGGGAAACUGCCUGAUGGAGGGGGAUAACUACUGGAAACGGUAGCUACUCCCGAAUACAAUCAGAUGUGCACAGAUGGGAUUAGCUAGUAGGUGGGGUAAUGGCUCACCUAGGCGACGAUCCCUAGCUGGUCUGAGAGAAUGACCAGCCACAGUGGAAGUGAGAAACGGUCCAGACUCGUAAGGGAGGAAGCAGUGGGGAAUAUUGCACAAUGGGCGCAAGCCUGAGGCAGCCAGGCCGCGUGAGUGAAGAAGGCCUUCGGGUUGUAAAGCACUUUCAGCGGGGAGGCGUUACCCGCAGAAGAAGCACCGGCUAACUCCGUGCCAGCAGCCGCGGUAAUUC
rnacentral:rRNA from 1 species